CAGCAGAGUUUGAUCCUGGCUCAGGACGAACGCUGGCGGCGUGCGUAAUACAUGCAAGUCGAGCGGGCCAGCCGUAAGGCUGGUUAGCGGCGGACGGGUGAGUAACGCGUGAGUGACCUAGCCUUAGGUGGGGGGUAACUGCCCGAAAGGGUGGCUAAUCCCGCAUGGGUCCAGGCGUGCAAGCGCUUGGAGAAAGCCGCAAGGCGCCCAAGGGGGGGCUCGCGUCCCAUUAGGUGGUUGGUGGGGUAACGGCCUACCAAGCCUCGGAUGGGUAGCUGGUCUGAGAGGAUGGCCGGCCACACUGGGACUGAGAAACGGCCCAGACUCCUACGGGGGGCAGCAGUAAGGAAUCUUCGGCAAUGGCCGCAAGGCUGACCGAGCGACGCCGCGUGGGUGAAGAAGGUCUGAGGAUUGUAAAGCCCUGUUGACCGGGAAGAGGAUGGACGGUACCGGUCGAGGAAGCCCCGGCUAACUACGUGCCAGCAGCCGCGGUAGUCGGCCCAAUCGCC
rnacentral:rRNA from 1 species